rnacentral:rRNA from 1 species
UACGUAGGUGACAAGCGUUGUCCGGAUUUACUGGGCGUAAAGAGCGCGCAGGCGGUCGUUCAAGUCGAGUGUGAAAGCCCCCGGCUCAACUGGGGAGGGUCACUCGAUACUGAUCGACUCGAAGGCAGGAGAGGGAAGUGGAAUUCCCGGUGUUGUGGUGAAAUGCGUAGAUAUCGGGAGGAACACCAGUGGCGAAGGCGACUUCCUGGCCUGUUCUUGACGCUGAGGCGCGAAAGCUAGGGGAGCAAACGGG